rnacentral:piRNA from 1 species
UUGCUUUUGAGUUGUUAAUAUGUAGCC